rnacentral:lncRNA from 1 species
GUUGUGGAAAGACUUUCAAUUGUUCUCUGAACAAUUGGUUUUUAAUUAUUAUUAUUAUUAUUUUUUUUUUUCCGCCAACUUUUGUUCUUGCGAUAAAUGUUUGUUUCGCAAUAUGUCGCUUAGAUAUUUCUCAUAUUGUAUCGUAUAGUUUAUGCGCUUUAAAUUUCACCCUGCUAAGCGAACCAUUUUCUUUGUAAGAGUAAUCUCCCUUUUCACUGUUUAUCAUCAAAGCGUAUCUCCUUCGUAACAAAAAAAGAUAGCGACAAAAUUCUUUUUACAAAUUAUUCGUUACAUCCUCAGUAAUUUUUGGCGUAUUUGGAUCGAAGCGAUUCGAUGAAAUUUUAUAGGAGUUAUCUACCUUUACAAAAUAAAUUUGUCGGUAUGUUUUAUUUAACUCAUUAACAGAUAACUGUAUAACCCUGGAUGUUUUUAUUUGAGUCCCCUAGGUCCUAACUUAGAAAAUGAGGUCAAGGUCAAAGGUCAAGGUCAAGUUCUCAAUUGUGACUUUUGCUUGAUUUUGCAUUUUCUCACUCACUUUGAGAGAUACAUAUGAAAGAACAAGUUCAAAAUGUCUGCUUAAUUGUUAUGAAGAUAUGCUACAUUUAG